GACGAACGCUGGCGGCGUGCUUAACACAUGCAAGUCGAACGGAAAGGCCUCUUUCGGGGGGUACUCGAGUGGCGAACGGGUGAGUAACACGUGAGUAACCUGCCCUUGACUUUGGGUUAACUUCAGGAAACUGGGGCUAAUACCGGAUAGGAGCUCCUGCUGCAUGGUGGGGGUUGGACAGUUUCGGCGGUUGGGGAUGGACUCGCGGCUUAUCAGCUUGUUGGUGGGGUAGUGGCUUACCAAGGCUUUGACGGGUAGCCGGCCUGAGAGGGUGACCGGCCACAUUGGGACUGAGAUACGGCCCAGACUCCUACGGGAGGCAGCAGUGGGGAAUAUUGCACAAUGGGUGGAAGCCUGAUGCAGCAACGCCGUGUGCGGGAUGACGGCCUUCGGGUUGUAAACCGCUUUCGCUCAUGACGAAGCUUUGUGUGACGGUAGUGGGUAAAGAAGCACCGGCUAACUACGUG
rnacentral:rRNA from 1 species